rnacentral:rRNA from 1 species
CAGGCUUAACACAUGCAAGUCGAGGGGCAGCAUGGUCUUAGCUUGCUAAGACUGAUGGCGACCGGCGCACGGGUGAGUAACACGUAUCCAACCUGCCGUCUACUCUUGGACAGCCUUCUGAAAGGAAGAUUAAUACAAGAUGGCAUCAUGAGUCCGCAUGUUCACAUGAUUAAGGGUAUUCCGGUAGACGAUGGGGAUGCGUUCCAUUAGAUAGUAGGCGGGGUAACGGCCCACCUAGUCUUCGAUGGAUAGGGGUUCUGAGAGGAAGGUCCCCCACAUUGGAACUGAGACACGGUCCAAACUCCUACGGGAGGCAGCAGUGAGGAAUAUUGGUCAAUGGGCGAGAGCCUGAACCAGCCAAGUAGCGUGAAGGAUGACUGCCCUAUGGGUUGUAAACUUCUUUUAUAAAGGAAUAAAGUCGGGUAUGCAUACCCGUUUGCAUGUACUUUAUGAAUAAGGAUCGGCUAACUCCGUGCCAGCAGCCGCGGUAAUACGGAGGAUCCGAGCGUUAUCCGGAUUUAUUGGGUUUAAAGGGAGCGUAGAUGGAUGUUUAAGUCAGUUGUGAAAGUUUGCGGCUCAACCGUAAAAUUGCAGUUGAUACUGGAUAUCUUGAGUGCAGUUGAGGCAGGCGGAAUUCGUGGUGUAGCGGUGAAAUGCUUAGAUAUCACGAAGAACUCCGAUUGCGAAGGCGGCCUGCUAAGCUGCAACUGACAUUGAGGCUCGAAAGUGUGGGUAUCAAACAGGAUUAGAUACCCUGGUAGUCCACACGGUAAACGAUGAAUACUCGCUGUUUGCGAUAUACUGCAAGCGGCCAAGCGAAAGCGUUAAGUAUUCCACCUGGGGAGUACGCCGGCAACGGUGAAACUCAAAGGAAUUGACGGGGGCCCGCACAAGCGGAGGAACAUGUGGUUUAAUUCGAUGAUACGCGAGGAACCUUACCCGGGCUUAAAUUGCAGAUGAAUUACGGUGAAAGCCGUAAGCCGCAAGGCAUCUGUGAAGGUGCUGCAUGGUUGUCGUCAGCUCGUGCCGUGAGGUGUCGGCUUAAGUGCCAUAACGAGCGCAACCCUUGUUGUCAGUUACUAACAGGUUCCGCUGAGGACUCUGACAAGACUGCCAUCGUAAGAUGUGAGGAAGGUGGGGAUGACGUCAAAUCAGCACGGCCCUUACGUCCGGGGCUACACACGUGUUACAAUGGGGGGUACAGAGGGCCGCUACCACGCGAGUGGAUGCCAAUCCCCAAAACCUCUCUCAGUUCGGACUGGAGUCUGCAACCCGACUCCACGAAGCUGGAUUCGCUAGUAAUCGCGCAUCAGCCACGGCGCGGUGAAUACGUUCCCGGGCCUUGUACACACCGCCCGUCAAGCCAUGGGAGCCGGGGGUACCUGAAGUGCGUAACCGCGAGGAGCGCCCUAGGGUAAAACUGGUGACUG